rnacentral:lncRNA from 1 species
UAUUUUUCCCAACCGCUUAUGCUUACAUUUUUCUUAUUUUUAUCAGUUAAUAAUCCGUCUGCUCAUAUUGUCCAUUCCUUCUGCGUAACUUUGAUUUUUCCUAUAUGCAACUUAGCAAUAUUAGGGAUAUAAAAUUUGCUAUUCCUUCUACUUUAUUCGAGUGUUCACAACAAACUCACAUAUAAUUUUUUCACAAUGAUAGAAAUUCUGAGGGGAAAAAAAUAACUUUAUGAAAAAAAAAAAGGCCUUUGCUUAACACGCUAAAUUGGCUUUGAUAGACAUGAUCAUAGGCAACCAAAAAAAUUCCACAAAUCCAUGUCCGCCCGUCACCUGCUAAGCUACUUUACAUCAAUGUCACAACUUCGCAAGUGACAAGUUCGCAGCCCACGGGCGUAAACUCAUAGCAAAGGGGGAAAAAAUCAAGAAGAAAAGGGAGGGAACUAGCGACGACUCCCAAAAGAUACUGCUACUCGUCGUCGAGAUCCUCGUCUUCCUGAUCUUCAGCGAUCGUCUCCAAUUCCGUAUGUCUGAGAUUUCUGUCGCGAGCCGGGACGAGAAGAGCCGGUGCCGCCUCCAUCCACGGACUCGUCGAUACUCCGAUUCCCUUCACCAUGUCGCGGUCGUGGUUCUCGCCUCCGAUUCGAGAGCUCAAGCUUUGCUGGACUCGACUGAGUGAGCUCCGGUUGAAAUCGCAGGAAGAAGAAAGAGAGAAUUUCACAGCUCCUAUGAGACCGAAUCUCCAGUUGUCCCUCAGGAGCUCGGUGGUAGAGCCGUCGACCGUUAACUGAUCUGAGAGAGUGAGAGAGUGAGAGAGCGUUGGCUGGCUGGAGAAAAUAGGGGGGCGAGGGGUUUUUUAUAUGGACGGCAAGGAUGACCUUUUAAUUACUCCAAGAAAAACGUGGGGUUUAUCGCUACUUGGGGAAGCUUCGUCCUCCCUUCACUCUCGCGUGUUUGAAGGCCAAAGGCAAGUGGGGAACAAGGGACGUGUGAACGCGGGUAUUGGACUUUGAUCGGGCCCCAUUAAUUUAAAGGAAAAUCUCACUAAAGUGAUUCAUUUUUUUUUCCCGUGCACAACGUGGUACAAACUCUUUCUGUAAAACCAUUACCCCAAAUUUGUACUAGUGAUAUACUUUCCAUCAACGGUAGUUUUUUAGAUUAAUAUUGCGAAAAAUCACAAACUAGUACGCCUAUUACAAGCAUAAGGUAAAACUUCAAAUUAACACAUUUAUUAAUUAUCACGUAUCAUCCAAUUCAAUAAUUUAAUGAAAAUUAUUAUAAGGUAAAUUUAUUGUAAGUGUACUAGUUUAUGGAGUUUUAGGAAGUUAGAAAAUUAGUUCAGAGAAAAUUUGUUAAAGUCGAAACAUGUAUGCUAUCCCCAACUAACAAGCUUCUCAUGCCAUUUUUAAUGGACCGCCUCUUAGUUUCUUGACUCUUUACUCUUGAAUAUAGACGUUAGAAUCUCAGAUUUUCUAAUCCACAAGUUCCAAAAAGUGGCAAAUGAAGAGUGUACUUAGAAUCAUACCACUUUACCAAGCUAAUAACAAAAUUCUAAUCAAAAUAAGCCAUUCUGGGGGAGGAAGAAAAAGGACUUAGAAAGUCAUGAGUGUUAGAGAAAUCCCUUAUGAUGUUUUGAAGAUGACAAAAUAAAUCAAAGGCUACUAACAUGUUUGAUGGUUGAGUAAUAGACCAUGCAGAUAAUAGAACAUGUAAAGGAUAUUAUCAAAGUCUGAAGACUGCCAGACUCGAGACUCAAAGUCUGAAGACUGCCAGACUCAAGACUCAAAGUCUGAAGACUGCCAGACUUUAGUGUCAAAGUCUGUUCUACAUCAGAAGUCUGCUCACUCUGACAAAUUCCAGACUGAACGUGAAAGCUGAACCAGAAGACAGACUCUAUGCUGAAGCUGAACUGGGUAGAGACUCAUAUUGCAAAGUCUACAGACCCAGAUUGUAAAGUCUCAAGACUCAUAUCGUAAAGUCUAAAGACUCAGACUUUACAUCCAGAUUCAAUGAAUCGUAACUCAAGCCCAAUCAUACAACGGCUAGUGAUCUGGUUUGGAUUCCACAUCAAGAUUGAUUUGAUUGAAGACAAGAACUUUCUAUACGAAGAAGCUUUACUUAUGGAAACCAAGAUUUCGUUUGUAUGGGCGAUCGGAAUCAAUUUGGGAUUUUACCUUUGUCACUCAACGGCUACCAAAUCUUCUAAAUACAGAGCUGUCCAAUGGGUAUAUUGGAAGACGAUUCUCCGGGAUACUGUCCAACGGUAGUUUGGAAGUGGAGGAGUAUUUAAGGAGAUCAUGGACCGAUGAGCAAGUAAGAGACGGAGAGUAGAAUUUAUAAUUCCAAAGUCUAAGCGACUUUAGAUCAUAUACUUGUCUCUUGAGAGCUUAAACGUUUGUAAUCGUGAGAGAAAUACCAAGAGAGUGACUUAGUGAGAUAGUGUGAUCUACUACUAAGUGUUUGCACUCGGAGUUGUAAUCUCUUGUUGAUUGCAUAGUGGAAUCCAGCCAAGAAGGCUGUUAUCGUGGGAGAGUGGACGUAGGCUUGGAUUAAGCCGAACCACUAUAAAUCUCGUGUUCUUAUUCUCUUCCUUAACUCCUUUAUUUUGUUCAUACUAGCACUCUCAAUUGGUAUCAGAGCCAAGUGCUCGGUUUAUAAAAGUGUUUUUACUUUUGAGCUAAAGAUUCUUUAUGGCUAGUAUGUUGGCACCAGGUCUUAUGGAAGGGCAAAGCAACACAAGGCCACCAUAUUUCGAUGGAAGAAAAUACAAGCAGAAUGGCCAGAAAAGAACAAAAAAGAAGAAGAUGAUGAGCAAGAAAAUUUAUGCUUGAUGGAACAUUCAGAAUCUGAGUCUCACUCAGACAUAGACUCAGAAACAGAGUCUCAUUCAGAACCAGACUCAGAAUCCGAUGAGGAAAUUAAGGGGAGAAAUCAAAUCCAAAAGAAAAGGAAAAGAAUCGUGAUCAUCUCAAAAAGGCAACAAAUUGAGGGGGAGCUUUGAUCAAUUAUGGAAAAAUCUUUUUUGAUUGAUCGUGAUCUUAUUAUGGAUGGAAGGAAAGGUAAUUGUGUCAGAAUUUAUUCUACAAAAUCCGGUUAGUGCAUCUCUUAUUACCUUUUGUCAUUAACAAAUCUCAUAUUGAUAUUAUCAUGUUAUUAUGACAAAAAUGGUACGUGAAUUUUAUGAUGCAUCCGUGAUUUUUAUUGGAUAUUUAUUGAUAUGAUCGAAGUGAGCUAUAUUGCAUAUCUUUAAUAUUCGAUAAAAGCUGAUUUUUUGAAAUUGUGAUUCAUGCAAGAUAUUUGUUAUCAUUCUCUACGUGAAUCCAUUAUUAUCGCUUUUUGAUUAAGACAAAAAGGGGGAGAAGAUAUGAAUAUGCAUAUGUGCUGAUUGGUUGAUAUUAUUUAUUGCAUAAUAUUGAGCUGCGAUUAUUUUCUAAAUAUUAUUAUGCUCAAUCUAUUUGUUAUCUUCUGAUAUCCUUUGAUUUAAAUUAAUAAAAGCGUGUUUACAAAUCUGCAUAUUCAGAGAUUGUUUUGUCAUCAUCAAAAAGGGGGAGAUUGUUAGAGAAAUCCCUUAUGAUGUUUUGAAGAUGACAAAAUAAAUCAAAGGCUACUAACAUGUUUGAUGGUUGAGUAAUAGACCAUGCAGAUAAUAGAACAUGUAAAGGAUAUUAUCAAAGUCUGAAGACUGCCAGACUCGAGACUCAAAGUCUGAAGACUGCCAGACUCAAGACUCAAAGUCUGAAGACUGCCAGACUUUAGUGUCAAAGUCUGUUCUACAUCAGAAGUCUGCUCACUCUGACAAAUUCCAGACUGAACGUGAAAGCUGAACCAGAAGACAGACUCUAUGCUGAAGCUGAACUGGGUAGAGACUCAUAUUGCAAAGUCUACAGACCCAGAUUGUAAAGUCUCAAGACUCAUAUCGUAAAGUCUAAAGACUCAGACUUUACAUCCAGAUUCAAUGAAUCGUAACUCAAGCCCAAUCAUACAACGGCUAGUGAUCUGGUUUGGAUUCCACAUCAAGAUUGAUUUGAUUGAAGACAAGAACUUUCUAUACGAAGAAGCUUUACUUAUGGAAACCAAGAUUUCGUUUGUAUGGGCGAUCGGAAUCAAUUUGGGAUUUUACCUUUGUCACUCAACGGCUACCAAAUCUUCUAAAUACAGAGCUGUCCAAUGGGUAUAUUGGAAGACGAUUCUCCGGGAUACUGUCCAACGGUAGUUUGGAAGUGGAGGAGUAUUUAAGGAGAUCAUGGACCGAUGAGCAAGUAAGAGACGGAGAGUAGAAUUUAUAAUUCCAAAGUCUAAGCGACUUUAGAUCAUAUACUUGUCUCUUGAGAGCUUAAACGUUUGUAAUCGUGAGAGAAAUACCAAGAGAGUGACUUAGUGAGAUAGUGUGAUCUACUACUAAGUGUUUGCACUCGGAGUUGUAAUCUCUUGUUGAUUGCAUAGUGGAAUCCAGCCAAGAAGGCUGUUAUCGUGGGAGAGUGGACGUAGGCUUGGAUUAAGCCGAACCACUAUAAAUCUCGUGUUCUUAUUCUCUUCCUUAACUCCUUUAUUUUGUUCAUACUAGCACUCUCAAUGAGAGAUGUCACAAUAUGGAUUCAUUUAGGGAAGGCUAGUCUGCCCCUUCAAUACACAAUACAUUGCCCUAUAUAGGCAUGAGUUGCAUCGAACAUCACAAGGCAUCUAGAGGAUAAGUCCCUCUAAUGAUGCUACAGAUAAUAGAUAUGAAAGCCACAAAAUACGAAGGAUGGUUAAAGCAUUACAAACAAAGCACACUCCAUGCCAGGCUUGCUAAAGCAUGUGAUAAAGCAUAAAGCACCCUCCACACCUAGUACACUAGUAAAGCACACCAUUCUUAUUAUCGAAUUCCUCUUCAGUGCUGUCUACUAAACUAUCUAAGCUUUCUCUGUCUUUUGCUUUGCGAAAGGCGUGAAUAAGGCUGCCAAUCUUCCACUAUGACAAAAGCUGAUCAGCAGCAAGGUUGUUAGGGAUUCUUGAUGAAGAUGGACCAUCUAUUCUUCUUUUCUUAAAGGGAGAUGACUAGUCUGUCUAGGGUUGUGGCCAAUGAGACCAAUCUUCGAAAAUGGUGGAAGCCAACUAUAAAUCUAUGUUGAUGAAUUCAGAUGAGUGUGGGUCUUGGACUAGUGGCCCACCCCAUGGAUCUUGGGAGGACUAAGUGGGCACUUAAUCAUGGUCGGAACUAAGAUCCUCUCCAUGGUAUUCUCUUAAGGCUUGACAAAUUUGGUGGCUUAUUUCGGGGAAUUCUAGAUUAGUGUGUUGCUAGACUUUGCUACCUUCUUAGCCAAAUCUCUAGAGGAAUCACUCUGUUGUGUUGGUACAAAAUUCUCUGAAGUUCCUUAUAUUCCUAUGGGAUUUGUCUAAUUUUUGCUAAGAGGGUUUUGAAAAUAUCAUUUGUUCUUGGUUGAGGCUUGAAGUAAAGACACCAACCUUUGCCGGAGUCAGUUAAGAUCUCCACUUGGCCUAAGAAACAUCCAUGAUCUGUGAAAGAUGAUUAAAAUGCGAAGUUCUGGAUUUGGCUAGCAAACUUUCAAUUGUUCUUUAAAAACUAAUCUUUAGAUUCCUAAAAGGUUUAAACCAUCACCAUAAUCCUCCCAAAUGCACAAAAUCUGAUUGUCCUUGGAUAAUUAGGCUAAUGAUGAGAGGCAUUUUAGCUGUAGGAAAUUUGACAACAACUAUAUACAGAAUAAGCAUAUACCAAAUGAGCCAUUUAAGGUAUCCUUGAAAUGGGUCUAUGGGUGAGAUGGUAAAAGGAUACAUGAAUGGAUACUUAGGAUAUAAUCCCAAGGGUCUCAAACAUAAUCCACCAUAUCUGUUGAAGAUUCUUAGCUGAUAAACCAAUAGUAGAUUAAUUAAGUUUUCAAAGACAACAUUGCCUUAAAUGAGUUCUGAAAUUUUAGAAGGAUAUUUCCUACUUGGCCAUUUUGGCAACAUUGGUUGAGCUCAAAUUUGGUCACUAGCUACAUGAAAUUCAUUGGGGCUUGAUUUGGCCUGGAUAGAAAAUCUACAAGCACAUUCUUUUUUUUUUCUCCUGUAAUGCGUUUGGUUUCAAAAGAGUAUUUGAAAAACCAUUUUGACCAUCUCAAAUGCUAUGGGUGCAAAUUGUCUUUUGCUUGAAUUUCAACAUUUGGAGAAAAGAAGACAUGUCCAAUUCGACAAGAAAAUGGUGACUUAAGAGAUGGAAUUUGAAUUUCUUAAUCUCAUACUUAACAACCAAGAUUGCUUUGAACGUAGAAUAGUAAUGAAUUUUUGUUUGGGACAAUCUUCCACUUUCGUGUCCACAAAUUCUCCAAUGAGAUGGUGACGAAUAAGACUCCACGGACCAGAGACUAUGGUUAGUGAUGCUACUAGCUCUCCAAAUUUGGCUGUCGAUGUCACUUGUCCCGCCGACCCCGCUAACUCUCUAGAUUUUGACCGUCCAUGGCGGUCGGUGUCUCUUGCGAGCCCUACUCGUCCAUAGGUGGUGAUGCUACGGGCCCUCUAGAUCAGGCCAAUCAUGGUUGUCGGCAUCGCUCGUGGGCUUUGCUCGUCCAUGGCUUGUGGUGCUGCUAUCCAUGGUCGCGAGCCUUCGUCAUCCAAGGUUCACAAAAGGCAAAAGUAAAAAAAUAAAAAUAAAACAAAAUGGCGAAGUGACUUGUUUGAGAUCCAUCACCGAUGGAAGAAGAAUUCCGAAUAAAAUGCACGUCACCGUAUGAGUGGAUGCGAGGGAAAAAAAGGGGCUACCUUAGUUGUUGAUCUGGCACUAUGGAACCACUAACGAGAGUGUAGGCAAAAUUAGUGGAAUCGUACUUUUAUCCUUCUUGACAUUUUCAUCAUUGCUUGAGAGAACAAAAAUUAUAAGACAAAAUGCUAUUAGCCAAAUUUAAAUGUUGCAUUCCAACAUUCAUUCCACUUAUUUUCGCUUUCAAUAGAAGGCGAGGGGAAAAAAGAUAAGUAUCGGUAAAUAACCCACUUAUUUUCCCAUCUGCUUGUGUUUCUUUUUCUUAUUCUUAUCAGUAAAUAAUCCAUCUGCUCGUGUUGUCCAUUCCUUCUGGAGUAGUAGUAAGACUGUCAUGCCUUUGAUAUAAAAUUUGCUAUUCCUUCUACUUUAUUCGAGUCUUCACAACAAAUUCACAUGUAAUUUUUUCACAAUCAUAGAAGUUUUGAGGGAGAAAAAAUUACUUUAUGAAAAAAAAGGCCCUUGCUUAACACGAUAAAUUGGCUUUAAUAGACAUGAUCAUAGGCAACCAAACAAAAUCCCACAAAACCAUGUCCGCCCGUCACCGGCUAAACUACUUUACAUCAAUAUCACAACUUCGCAAGUGACAAGUUCGCAGUCCACGGGCUUAAACUCAAAGCAAAGGGGGAAAAAUCAAGAAGAAAAGGUAGCGAGCUAGCGACGACUCCCGCAAGCUACUGCUGGUCGUCGUCGAGAUCCUCGGCUUCCUGAUCUUCUGUGAUCGUCUCUAAUUCCGUAUGUGUGAAACUUCUGCUGCGAGCCGGGACAAGAAGAGCCGGCGCCGCCUCCAUCCAUGGACUCAUCGAUCCUUCGAUUCCCUUCGCCAUAUGUUGCGAUCGCGAUUCCCGGCUCCGCUUCGAGAGCCCAAGCUUUGCUCGACUCGACCGAGUGAGCUCCGGUUGAAAUCGCUAGAAGAAGAAGAGGAGGAGAAUUCCACAACUGCUCUGGGAGAGAUGGGGACUCUGUGAGAGAGACCGAAAUUGUUGGGUGUUGGAGAAAAUCGGGGGGAGAGCGGCGGUUUUUAAUACGGGGGGCGAGGACAACUUUUUGACUGCUCGAAGGAAAACGUGGGGUUUGUUGCUACUUGGGGAAGCUUCGUCCUCCCUUCACUUUCACAUGUUUGUAAGGCCAAAGGCACGUGGGGGAACAAGAGACGUGUGAACGCGGUCGGGCCCCAUUAAUUAAAAGCAAAAUCUCAUCAAAUUAAUUAAUUUUUUUCCCCGUGCAUGACGUUAUACCAAACUCUUUCCGGAAAACCAAUGCCCUAGAUUUGUACUAGUGACUUGAUUAUACUUUUUGUUAAUACUACUUUUUUCAGUUAAUAUUACAAACAAUUAUAAAAUGGUAUACUUAUUAUAUAUGUAGAAUAAAACUUCAAAACGGUAUACUCGUCAACCGUGACGUGUCAUGCAAUUUAACAAUUUGAUUAAUAGAUAGUGAAUUCGGCAUAAAUGUAAUAGAUUUGGAAGUUUUAGAGUGUCAAAAAAAUAGUUUAGAAUAAAUUUGUUAAAUGUGUAUUGAUUUGAGAUUUCUUAUGAUGUUAACUUUAGAUUUUUAAAUCUUCGAUGCAGCAGAGUGCAUGAACAACAAUGAAUCGAAUUUUCUACUGUCAUUACAGAUGAAAGUUCAAUAAAAUGUAUUUUUGGAUCAUUGGUACAAAUUAGGAUAUUAAUAAGACAAAAAAAAUUGAGGUAUUGGUGUCCACUGGAACAAGUUUGCGAAUUUUGGUGAAUUUUUUCUUAAUGCAAUUGAUUGGAAAAUGAUGUGGACCGUGAGGCCGCGCACUCACAAAAAUUCCUUCUUGUGCACUCAAGCCUCGAGCAACCCAACUAUUGCAUGUACUGGAUGCAUCGCCGAAACCUAGACAUCGGUAACAUCGAUUAUGGUAGGAUUCCUCUGUUUUACACGUAGGGCAACCACACUCAAUAAGGCAUAAUAAUACGGGGUGCAUGCAUUUGCUCUGUACAAUAACUUUUCCUAAACAAUAAUCGAACUAUCAGAUCGCAUGAGUUAGUACGUAGCGGCCAAUUUGAUUCGAGGACGCAUGCAUACACACCAAAGGACAUGCUAAACUUUGGAGGGAAUUUGGUUGGGAAUAUUUUUUAUUUUGUCCAUCCAUGGAAUACUUUCACUACCUAAAUUUCUGAUUAGUCAAUGAUGAAUAAAGACAUCACCCGAUUUUAAUUCUAGUUAAGCUUUGAUCUUCAUGUAUUGAAAGGUUCGAAAAACUUAUACAUGUUGAUUUCACAGACCAAUUUAAACAUAAUUAUUUUGCGAUUUUUAACUUUUAUUUAUUAUAUUUUUAAUUUGAGGGGACUGGAAAAGAAAAAUUACUUUAUUAGAACAAGAGGCCCUUCCUUAACACGAAAAGUCGGUUUUCAUUGAUAUGAUCGUAGACAACCAAAAAAAAUUCCACAAAUCCAUGCACAGCUUCCCAGUUCACGCGCUUAUGCACAGAGCAAAGGGAAAAAAAAGAAAAAAAAGAACAGGGAGUGGACCAGCCACAACUUCCCACCAAAAAAUAAGAGGAAAAAGAAGAAGAAAAUCUGCUAUUCAUCACCGAGAUCCUCAACUUCCUGAUCCUCUCUAAUCGUCUUCAAUUGAGGAUGUCUGCAACUUCUGUCACGAGCCGGCACGACCUCCAUCCACAGUCUCAAUCCUCCGAUUCCCUUGACUAUGUUGGUACUGCGAUUCCCGAUUUAGAUUCGAUAGAUUUGAUUUGGUGUGGUAAUGGCUUGAAGAAAACAUGGCAUUCGUCACGAUUUAUUUGACACAUUCGUUCGCAUUCAAAAUUUUAUGAACAGCUUGUACGUGUCACCAGUCAUGGACUAGUGGUGGUAGUGUCUAACGGCCAGGCUAGGCUGUGCUUAGACUCCAAUGUGGACGAGCAACCAUAGAAUCUUUGGAUGGCUUUGGAGAUCGAGAUAAGCGAGGCCAAAUCUAAAUGAGUGAUGAUGGAGCUGACCACGAGCCACGAGUCACGACGAAUGGGGUAGCAGGUUACCAUCCAUGUACGAACGAGAGUCACGUCUGUGGACGAGCGACCUCGCUAGUCUUGGACCAGCAAGUGUAGUUAGUGUACUAGCUCUCCAUAUUUGGCUGUUGAUGUCACUCCUCACUAACCGUGCUAGCUUUUUAGAUUUGGCCAUCCAUCGCCGUCGGUGUUAGGGGUGUGCAUGGUCCGGGCGGGCGGUUCCCGACCUAGAACCGGGAACCGCCUGCUAAGGACCGAUUCUGAAAAAUCGAAACCGGGAUCCAUCCGGGAACCGGACCGCUGGUCCGGUCCGGUUCCCGGGUGGAUCCAUGGAACCGAUUUUGACGCCAAAAAUUCUGGUUAUCAACAGCGAAACAAUUUUGGUUUCCCGGACCGCCGGUCCGGAAGUUUUGAGCUCUAAAAUUCCAAGUUUCAAUCUCCAAAAACUAAAACAAUAAUUAAUAGACGAAUAAUAGACGAAUUUCUUUUGCAUUAGUCCUCCCUCUCAAGCUCAUUAUCCACCAUGAAGCGUGCCUCUGCCUAACUUCCUCUCGAUGUUGCUGUGAAACUCCAACCAAGCGGUGUUUUCGUUGAAGCAAAGCUCCUUUCCACGCCAGAGAGCCGUUGGAGGGAGAAGCAAAUCAAUAGGGUACUACAAUUGCAAGUCUUUCAUUACUAUACAAGGCCGUAGACAAUUAAAUCACCUGCACAAAUGCGAAGGGGCGGACAGCAGUGGCAGAGGAGCAACAACGGCGGCGUUGAGGCUUAGGGAGGAAUCAAAGACGAAGGGACUGAGCGUCGGCGAGGGGGGCGGACAGCAGAGGCGGAGGAGCAGCGGUUGUGGCAACCGGCGCGAGGGGGCGGACAGUGGCCGAGGAGGAGCAGCGGCGGCGGCGUGGAUGCUUGGUGAGGAAUCGAAGAUGAGGAGAAGAGAUUGAGGAAGAAACAGAGAGAUAAUCAAAGACUGAGGAAGAAAUCGGAAGAGAAUCAAGAGAUGAGACGCAAAUUAGGACUUCGUACCUUGUUGAGUGACGGAAAAGGGGCUCGUCGGCUCGGUCGAGAGUUCUUGCAGAGGCGGAGGAGCAGCGGUUGUGGCGAGUGAUGACCGGCAUGAGGGGGCGGACAGUGGCGGAGGAGGAGCAGCGGCGGCGGCGUGGAUACUUGGGGUGGAACCGUGGAAUCGAAGACGAAGAGAAGGAAAGGAACAGAGAGAAUCGAAGGCUGAAGAAGAAGAAACACGAAUUAAGGCUUCGCGAAUUAGGGGCAGGGGGCUUCGCGACUUUUUUUUUUUUUUUUAAUUAUAAAUAGUACUGGUCCGGUUUGGGUGGGUGGGCGAGCGGGCGGAUCCGCCCACGGAAUCGGGAACCAGACCGGUUCCCACUGGUUCUCAACAAUUGGACCUGGGAACCGGACCAGUUCCCUUGAGAACCGCCGGUUCCGAGCGGUUCGGGUCCGGUUUCGGGCGAUUCCCCGGUCCAAUGCACACCCCUAGUCGGUGUCUCUUGCGAGCCUUACUCGUCCAUGGGCAGUGAUGCUACCGGCUCUCUAGAUCUGGCCAAUCAUGGAAUUUAAGAGUGGAUGUGAGGGGAAAAAAAAAGGGUGCUACCUUAGCCGUUGAUAUGGCACUUUAGAACCACUAACGAGAGUGUAGGCAAAAUGAGUGGAAUUGUACUUUUAGCCUUUUUGAAAUUUUCAUCAUUGCUUUUAAGAAAAAAAUUAUAAGACAAAAUGCUACUAGCCAAAUUUAAAAGGGUUGCAUUCCAAUAUUCAUUCUACUCAUUUUCGCUUUCAAUAGAAGGCGAGGGGAAAAAAGGAUAAUUAUCAGUAAAUAACCCUCUUAUUUUCCCAACCGCUUGUGUUUCUUUUUCUUAUUUUGAUCAAUUAAUAAUCCCUCUGCUCGUGUUGUCCAUUCCUUACGGAGUAUUAGCAAGACCGUCAUGACUUCGAUUUUUCCUAUAUGCAGCUUAGUAAUAUCAAGGAUAUAAAAUUUGCUAUUCCUGCUACUUUAUUCGAGCGUUCACAACAAAUUCACCUGUAAUUUUUUCACGAUUGUAGAAAUUUUUGGGGGAAAAAAUUACUUCAUGAAAAAAAAGGGCCUUGCUUAACACGAUAAAUUGGCUUUGAUAGACAUGAUCGUAGGCAACCAAACAAAAUUCCACAAAUCCAUGUCCGCCCGUCACUGGCUAAACUACUUUACAUCAAUGUCACGACUUCGCAAGUGACAAGUUCGCAGUCCACGGGCUUAAACUCAAAGCAAAGGGGAAAAAAAUCAAGAAGAAAAGGUAGCGAGCUAGCGACGACUCCCGAAAGAUACUGCUAGUCGUCGUCAAGAUCCUCGGCUUCCUGAUCUUCUGCGAUCGUCUCCAAUGCCGCAUAUUUGAAACUUCUGCCGCGAGCCGCGACGAGAAGAGCCGGUGCCGCCUCCAUCCACGGGCUCAUCGAUCCUCCGAUUCCCUUCGCCAUAUGUCGCGAUCGCGAUUCCCGACUCCGAUUCGAGAGCUCAAGCUCAAGCUUUGGUCGAAGAGUAAGCUCGACUGGGUGGGUUAGCUCCGGUUGAAAUCGCUGGAAGAAGAAGAAGAGAAUUCCACAACUGCUCGGAGAGAGAUGGAGACUUAGAGAGAGAGAGAGAGAAUGUUGGAUGGUUCGACAAAAUCGGGGGGCGAGAGGCGGUUUUUAUCAUGGAGAGCAAGGACAACUUUUUGUCGAUACUUGGGGAAGCUUCGUCCUCCCUUCACUUUCACGUGUUUGAAGGCCAAAGACACGUGGGGAACAAGAGACGUGUGAACGCGGGUGGACUGGGUGGGGCCCCAUUAAUUAAAAGGGAAAUCUCACCAAAGUAUGAUUAAUUUUUAAUUUUCCUGUGCACAACAUCAUACCAAACUCUUUCCGUAAAAUGAUCACCCCAUAUUUGUACUACUAACUCGAAUAUGCUUUUUGUUGAUUGUUACACUCCAAAUCUUAUAAGCUACGUUAAGUCAUCUGAAUUUUUAAACAUGAUAGAACUGAAUAGAGUAAAAUGAAAAAUAUAAAGAUUUCUUCAUAUCCUAUCAACUAUUAGGUAAACUACAGAUUUAAAGUCGGAUAUUUUCAUAUCUUAUUUUAUUGACUAUUUGGUAAAUUGCGAAUUUAAAAUCAAAUAUUUUCAUGAACAAUUAUAUUCUUGAAAAAAAAAAGAAUUAGGAAAGCACAAACUAACAUAUUAGAUGAUAGUAAAAUCAUCCAAAAUGGAUUUUUUUUUUUCAAAUCAACAUAUUCUCACAAAAUCAAUUCAUGAUUAUACAUCGUUUACCAAAUGCAUAAAGAAUCAAAAAGUGAUAUUGCGUAUGCUAAUAUGAGAUGAGUCAAUUAAGGCUAACAUGAGAGCAUUAGAAAUAUGAGUGGAUGACAAGUUGAACUGCGUCGUAGCAUAUUUGAUGGCGAAUAUUAAUGUGUGAUCUUUGCAAUAAGUUGCACAAAAAAAAAGGUAACAAAACGUGUGAGGUCGACUUUAAUAAUUGUGGUCAAUUUCCUAAAACAUGUGUAUAUCUACCCCUAUUGCAGACGGUUGUUAGUGGAGGAAGCAUGCGCAAAAGAUGACCAAAGGAAACCAUGCCCCCAAGCAUCAUGGUUAAAUGUGCAUUGCAUUGAUCAUAUAUUGCAUGCUUUUGGCAUGGCUAUUUUUCAUGCGCUUCUUUAUAUGAUUUUCUAAAGUCAUUUUAUAUUGUUUAAGUACUCUUUGGAUUGUGCUCUCGAGUUUUAAUUUCGAAGAGAUUUACAAGGCAUGAUAUUUCAAAUUUAUACAUGAAAAAUAUAUGUAACGUUUAGUAAAUUGCAUAAGGAAAAGUAAUUAAAAGUUUGACUUCAGUCAUGAGAUCUAAUUUUAAGAUUUUGUGGACGAAAAGUCUGUCCCGAAAUGUAGCAAAAGCACCACCAAAGCACUCUGUCAACAAACAUAUCGGGGAACAAUAAGUUAUUUAAUUGAAUUUGACCACCAUCGGAGACAAGCUUCGGCAUAAGAAUAUCAAUACACUUCCAAGUUCAAGAUGUUUGAUGUACCUAAAGGUUUGAAACAAGACUCACUAUGACAACAAAGGGAUCACACAAGAAAUAUAACACCUUUAAAAGAAAAACAUAUGAUUCCAAUAAGCAACAAAAAGAACAUUGUUCGAUAUUCCGAAUCCAUUGUGACUCAUCGCUCCAAGUCAUCACUCAUUCUCUUCUCUCAUCCCUUGGAGAAAUAGUUCCACAAGUGCCUACUUGCCAUCACCUUGAAAUCCCAAAAUAAGAUGAAUAUUUUGGGGAUCCUUAACAAUUUUUCUAUGUAAUUUUAUUCAAGUAUAGAUAUUUGAAGAAGCUCAUUGAUUUUUUUGCUAGUCAUUAUCCAAAUCCUUAGCAUAUGUAGCUAAUGAUCAUCUCCAUCCUCCCGUUAGCUUUUUUCAAAAACAAGCCAAAGUUUCCUACGAGCUCAACUAACUUAGCAAGCCAUCUUUAGCCCUUUUUAUUCUUGAAGAAUUAGAAACAUUGUGUGUUUGAGAAGAUGAUAGUGGCGGUAAAUUUUGACUUACACCAUUAGUUUCCACAUCAUCAUCAUUUUCACCUUGUUCAUGAUCUAUAGCUGCAUGAAAUUUUGAUGGGUUUUCACUGAGAUUUCCCUUGGUAUGAUCUUUUCCAAAUACAGUUGCUAGUCGAUCAUAUUGAGAAAACGAAACAAGUGUGUGAGAGAGAGAGAGAGAGAGAGAGAGAGAGAGAGAGAGAGAGAGAAGAAGUGACAAAACAGUGACAAAACUUGCAAUAUUUGUGCAACUAUCUUUUGAAUGAAUAUCAAUACAAUGCUUUUCACAAUCCUACCUAAAGCCACUUUGAUCCUUCAAAUCAUAUAUCCGAUUGUAUAACUUUUUUGAGUUUUUCAUCUUCAACUCUAUGAGGAUUAUCCUCGAUGCUAGAACUGGAGAACUUUUCUUCAAAUCACUUCUCUAAUAUUAUCAUGUCCUCACUCUUGAAGCUGUCAUUGGCUUUUAUUCCUCGUGCCACUAGUUCAUCAAGACCAUUUUGAAGUACAUUUUCUUCAUAUAUUGUCCAUACACGUCCGUUUCUCUCUGUUCCCUUUCCUUGAGUUUGAUUGAAAUCACUACCUUCCAUUCAUAAACAUCUCGUUUAAAUUUUAGAAAAUUUAAUGAUAAAGAAUAGAACGGUAGAGAAAAUAUAAUGAUAGAGACAACAUAGUACUAAAUAUUUGAAAUGGUGAAGCCAUAAAGCAAACACUAGCCAUGGAAAAUAUGUAUAAUAAUGAACCAACAACCUACAACAAGCAUAGAAGACAGAAUUUGAUGGUUUCAUCAUUUUGCAAUGGACAAUACGACCUAUAAAUUAUCUAUCUAAAAGAAAACAAGCUGGUGAAAUUGACCUAUUGCUAUAUUGUGAGGAGUUCUCAUUUAAUGUUUGAGGCUCAUGUUAGCAUCACGUUUGAAUCAAAAAGAAUAUUGAUGAAAGUGAUAUAGAGUUAUAAUGAACUACAUUUUUAAAAAGUUAGGAGUAAGGCCUACAAUGGCUUUUUUGUAAAGCUUCUUUAGGGUAGGCUAGGGGUUAACUUAUACCACAUGAACUCUUACUAGGAGUUGAUUUUGUACUUGUAAUCACAAAUAAAGACAGACAACUGUAGACUUAUCCUACUAGAUGGGAGUUGUACAUAUGUUGGUCUCCUAGAUGAUUCUACUAUGUUAAUAUUCAAGUCUAUCCCUAUGUAACUGAAGAGAGUAGGAGUGAAAGAGACCACUUUGCACCAUCUAUGUAUAUUUCUUCCAAAUCAUCAAGUGCAUCCCUUGUUAGAUGCCAUGCAAUUUUUCCCCUUGUUAUUUGUCUGCAUCCUAUUUACUAUUGUUAAUGAAAAAACAUGUUUUGCUCUCCUCGUAGUGCUUUAAGCUUGUAAUACUAUAUGUUCUUUGUAUAGUUGGCUUCUUCCUUUGAUUUGAUGGUGUAUACUUUAUGAUCCUCUUUAAUAAGUAGCCUCACUUGGACUUGAAAAGUAUGGUUAAAGGAAGUAUAUGUGCUGCCUCCAUCCACAGGCUCAUCAAUCCUCUAAUUUCCUUUGCCAUGUUGCGAUCGCAAUUCCCGACUCCUUUUCGAGAGCUAAAGUUUUGCUCAACUUGACUGAGUGAGUUCCAGUUGAAAUUGCUAGAAGAAGAAGAAGAAGAGAAUUCCACAACUACUCUGAGAGAGAUGAGGACUCUGCGUGAGAGAGAGGGACCUGUUGAGUGGCUGGAGAAAAUCGGGGGGCAAGAGGCGGUUUUUCAUAUGGAGGGCAAGGACAACUUUUUUAUUUUGACUUGGUUUCGCUGCUCGAAGAAAAAUGUGGGGUUUAUCAUCACUACUUGAGGAGGCUUCGUCUUCCCCUCACUUCCAUGCGCUUGAAGGCCAAAGGCACGUGGGGAACAUGAGACGUGUGAACGCGGACAUGGGACUUUGAUCGGGCCCCAUUAAUUUUAAAGGAAAAUCUCACCAAAGUAAUUUUUUUCUCCAGCACGCCGUCAUACGAAACUCUUUCCGUAAAACCAAUACACCACAUUUGUACUAGCGACUCAAAUAUACUUUCCGUCCAAUAUAGUUUUUUGGGUUAGUACUAAGAAAAUUCACAAACUAUAUGCCUAUUACAAAUAUAAACUAAAAUCUCAAACUGAUGCACUUGUUAAUUUAAUAAUUUAACUGUAAAAUUUAACGAAAACCAAUAUGUAAUAAAUUUAUCAUAGGUGUACCAGUUAAGGGAAUUUUGAGGGGUCAAAAAAUUAGUCUAAAGUAAAUUUGUUAAAAGGUUGAAACAUGUAUGUUGUCCCCAACUAAUAGGCACCACAUGCUAUUCUUCAAGGAACUGCCUCUUAGUUUCUCGACCAUUUACUCUUGAAUCUGGACCAUAAAGUCUCAGAUUUUCUAAUCCAUAAGUUUCACAAAGUAGCAAAUGAAGAGCAUACUUAGAACCAUAACAUCUAAUUGAGGUAAUAACAAAGUUCUAAUCAAAAGAAGCCAUUCUAAGGGAGGAAGAAAAAGCAUAUCUCUCAAUGCGGAUUUAUUUAGGGAAGGCUAGUUUGCCCCUUCAAUACACAAUAAAUUGCCUUAUAUAAGCAUGAAUUGCAUCGAACAUCACAAGGCGUCUAGAGGACAAGUCCCUCUAAUGAUGCUACAGACAAUAGAUACGAAAAUCACAAAGUAUGAAAGAUGCUUAAAGCACUAUAAACAAAGCACACUCCAUGUCAAACCUACUAAAGCACAUGGUAAAGCAUAAAGCACCCUCCACACCUAGUACAUUAGCACCCUCCACACCACCCUAUCUUAUUAUUGAAUCCCUCUUCAAUGUUGUCUGUCGAGUUAUUUGAGCUGUCUCCAUCUUUUGCUUUGUGAAAGGCGUAAAUAAGACUGUCAAUCUUCCACUGUGACAAAAACUAAUCAGUAGCAAUGUCGUCAAGGAUUCUUGAUGAAAGUGGACCAUAUGUUCUUUUUUUCUUAGAGGGAGAGGACUGGUUUGUCUAGGGCUAUGGUCAAUCAGAUCAAUCUUCGAAAGCGGUGGAAGCUAGCUACAAAUCUAUGGAGAUGAAUUCAGAUGGAUCUUUGGCUAGUGGCCCACCCUAUGGAUCUUGGGAGGAGGAAGCAAGUGCUUCAUCACGGUUGAAACUAAGAUCCUCUCCAUGGUAUUCCCUUAAGACUCGAUGAAUUUGGUGGCUUAUUUUAGGGAACUCUAGAUUAGUGUGUUGCCAAAUUCUGUUACCUUCUCGCCAAAUCUAUGGAGGAAUCACCCUGUUGUUUUGGCACAAAGUUCUUUAGAGUUCUUUAUAAUUCUGUGGGAUUUGUCUGAUUUUUGCUUAGAGGGUUUGAAAAUAUCAUUUAUUCCUGGUUGAGGCUUGAAAGUAAAGACACUGACCUUUGUUGGAGUCUAGUGAAGAUUUCCACUUAGCCUAAGAAAUAUCCACGACCUGCGAAAGAUGAUUAAAGUGUAAAGCUCUGGAUUUGGCUAGCAAACUUUAACUACAACCGAACUUGUUAAUUUUUGGAUUGAUUUUUAAUUUACAAGAUAGAUAAGUCGGAAUGGGUAACCCGCACCAAGAAAUGCAAGGGCAUAGAAGAAAGGACAAAUUCCCUCGUGGCCACAAUCGAAUACUCGAAAGUAGCAAAGUUAAAUGAAAUAAUUUAAAGUGCGGUCACAAUGAUUUUCAUAUUUAAAUUUUACUUAAUUUGAAAUUUUCGACGUGCAAAUUAUUGACUUUGUUUUAACCGAAAUGCUUGAUGCUUUUCUCAUAUUGAUGUUCACAACAAAUUUAUACGUAAUUUUUUUCAACAAUCAGAGAAAUUUUGAGGGGAGAAAAAUUACUUUAUGAAAAAAGAGGCCCUUGCUUAACACAACUUGGCUUUGAUAGACAUGAUCAGGCAACCAAAAAAAUUUCCACAAAUCCAUGUCCGUCCCCACGAGCUUAAAAGGGGGAAAAAUCAAGAAGAAAAGGGAGCGAACUAGCGACGACUCCCAAAAGAUAAUGCUAUUCGUCGUCGCCGAGAUCCUCAGCUUCCUGAUCUUCUGCGAUCGUCUCCAAUGCCGUACGUCUGACACUUCUGUGGAGAGCCGAUACGAGAAGAGCCGGCGCCGCCUCCAUCCACGGACUCAUCGAUCCUCCGAUUCCCUUCGCCAUAUGUCGCGAUCGCGGUUCCUGACUCCGAUUCGAGAGCUCAACCUUUGUCGACUCGACUGAGUGAGCUCCGGUUGAAAUCGCUGGAAGAAGAAGAAGAGAUGGAGACUCUGUUUAAGAGAUAGGGAUUGUUGCGUUGUUGGAAAAAAUCGGUGGGAAAGGGGCGGUUUUUUAUACGGAGGGCAAGGACAGCUUUUUGAUUUUGAUUUGGUUCUGUUGCUCGAAGGAAAACGUGGGGUUUGUCGCUACUUGGGGAAGCUUCCUUCACUUUCACGCGUUUGAAGGCCAAGGGCACGUGGGGAACAAGAGACGUGUGAACGCGGGUUUGGGACUUUGAUCGGGUCCCAUUAAUUAAAAGGAAAAUCUCACCAAAUUAAUUAACUUUUUUCCCUGUGCACAACGUCAUACCAAACUCUUUCCGUUAAGCCAUCACCCCAUAUUUAUACUACCGACUCGAAUAUACUUUCAGUCGAUAAUAGCUUUUUUAAUAUCCGAUGCGGCAGCAUGCGUGGAUGUCCGAUUUUUUAUGGCCAUUAGGGAUGAAAGUUCAACAUCAUGUAUUUUUGGGUCAUUGAUACGAAUUAGGAUAUUAGUGAGUUAAAAAAAUAAAAAUUGAAGCAUUGAUUUACACGAGAAAAGGCUUAAGAUUUUUGGUGAAUUUUUUCUUAAUUAAAUUAUGCAACUGAUUGGAUAAUGAUAUAGGCCGUGAAACGGCGCAUUCGCAAUGGUUCCUUCUUAUAAAAUCGAGUCUCCAGUGAUCCCAACUAUUACAUGUUUCAAAUGCAUUGUCGAAACCUACACAUUUGCAACAUUUAGUUCUGGUAGAAUUAAUCUGUUUUACAUGUUGGGCGACCAUACUCAAUGAAACAUAAUUAUAUGGGGUGAUGCAUUUAGUUUGUACAGUAUUUUUUUUGCAAUAAUAGUUGAAUUGUUAAAUCAUAUGAAUUAUUACAUAGCGGAUGGAAUUUGGUUUCGAACAUGUUUUCAUCCAACCGUAGGAUACUUUCCCUAACUAAAUUUUUGAUUAGUCAAUGAUUAAUAAAGACGUUAAGUUUUGAUGUAGUGUCCAUCAUGUCAAGUGUGGUGGAAGUGGCAUCAUCUGGUGGAGGGUGGAAGUGGCAUCAUUUGGUGGGAGGAGAGAGAGAUAUGGUAGCUGGGUCUCAGUAAACUUUUACUUUACAAUAGUUGAGUCUCAAUAAACUUUUACUUUAUAAUUUCUUCACGUAUUAAAAGAUUCGAAAUUUUUAUAUGUUGAUUUCGCACACCAAUUUAAAUAUGAUUAUUUCGUGAUUUUUAACUUUUUUUUGUUAUAUUUUUAAUUUUGAGGGGACCGGAAAAGAAAUAACUUUAUGAGAACGAUAGGCCUUUGCAUUAACACGAAAAGUUGGCUUUCAUUGACAUGAUCGUCGACAACAAAAAAAAUACAAAAUUGCACGAAUCCAUGCCACAGCUUCCCAGUUCACGCGCUUCCGCACAGAGCAAAGGGGGAAAGAAUUAAAAAGAAGAGGGAGUGAACUAGCCACAACUCCCAAAAAAAUAAAAGAAAAAAAAGAAAAUCUGCUAUUCAUCAUCAAGAUCCUCAACUUCCAGAUCCUCUGCAAUCGUCUCCAAUGGAGGAUGUCUGCAACUUCUGUCACAAGCCUGGACGAGAAGAGCCGGCGCGACCUCCAUCCAGGGACUCAAUCCUCCGAUUCCCUUGGCCAUUUCGGUACCGCGAUUCCCGAUUUGGACUCGAGAGCUUAAGAUUUGGUCGAAGGAAGAGCUCGACUGGGCAAGCUCCGGUUGUAAUCGCUGGAGAAAGAAAACCGCACGCUUCCUCUGCGAGAGAGAUGGAGACUUGGAGAGAGAUGGGGAGAGGGAGAGAAGGUUUUGUUGGGUGGUUGACUGGUUGGACAAACUUGAGGGGAGAGGCGGCUGUUUUUAUAAGGAGGGCAAAGGACGAGUGGGGAUUUCAUUUCGUUGGCUUUGGCUUGAAGAAAACGUGGCGUGUGUCGCUACUUAUUCGUGGAAGGUUCGUCCUCCUUUCCGGCCUUUCGACUGGCUGAAAAGGCUGGAGCACGAGAGAAAGUCAGAGACAUGUGAACACGUAUUAAUUAUAUGUGACAAUGACAUAUAUCGUGUUUGAACUUUAGUCCAUAAAUUUUAUAUUUUAUGAAUUUUUAAUUUAUUUAAUGUGGCUUAUACUUAGAAUAAAAAAAAACUGAUAAUACAUAUUCGAUAUAGUUCAUGAACUAUAUAACUAUGUUUAAUGUAAUCCGUAUAUUAAUUCAUAUUUAUUAAUAGGCUAAAGUUUAGAAAUUAAAUUACAUAUUAGAGUAAAGUUUAUAAAUCAUUUAUGUCAUUUUUUCCUAAUUAUAUUACACAACCAAUUGAGGAUGACAUGGACCAUGACAUGGCGCACUCUUAACGUGAUCACAUAUGUCAUAUACACCUUCAGUACCUAAAAUUUUGACCCUAAAGUUCAGAAAUUAUUGGUGUCAUUUUUCCUAAUUAUAGCACGCAACCGAUUGAGGGCAACGAGGGCCAUGACGUGGCGCACUCUGAACGUCAUCACGUGUGUCAUAUGCAUCUUCGGAUCUUACAGAUCUGCGUCAUUUGACUCUGGUGAGGAUUCACCGGUUCACGUAGGCGACCACACUAAUAUUUUUCAAUUCGUAGUGCGUGCACCCAGUCGGGAAGGCGAUUUUUUGCCCCCAACAACCGACAAGCCCAUGGAAUCUUGUCUAGAGGCAUUCCAGAGGAAAUUUUCUCUAACCAAAGUUUAGAUUACUUGGUGAUACAACCCAAGCGUUACCCACUUCUAAUUUUGAUUAUAUUCGCACAUAGGUAAUAUCAAUAACUUAUAAUAUACUAUUUAGGGGGUAAUGGUAGGAGAAAAUUUCCUUCCACCGGGACAGAGGAAAGCAAUUUCUAUUUUUCAACACCAAAUUUCGAAUGGUAUGAUGGGUUUUGCAUAAAUCUUGAUAAUUUUAUACCUAGUCACAUACAUACAAAAACCUUAAUUUUGUGGCUUGACGGAGAGCUCCUCGCCAUUGACCCACUCAGACGAGUCUAGAGUUUUCAUGUUCUGUUGGUAAUCUGUGACGCCAGUAUCAUUUGGGGGCGUCAAAGCAUGCAGUGCAGAGCCCAUGAAACAUCACGGAAGUACAUUGCUAUUGUCGUGCUAAACCCUCAAUCGAAGAAGGAAAAGAGAGAUGUAAUAAAAGAGAAGAAAAGAGGGGGGGGGGGGGGGGGGCGGCGGGAGUGUGUUGCAGCAACGGAUACAUGCUGCUCCUCAAGUCAAAGAAUUAUUGUGGUGUAAAGCAAUUAAUAUAUUUUAGUUAUCUCACAAUUCAUUAGCCUAAAUUUUAAGUUAAUGUGAGUUUAAUUGGAUAUGUUGACAAGUUUCGACAUGGCUUCACUCUUGAUGAUCUACCAAGGUAUUAGCUUUCCAAUGCACAACUCCCAACAAGUGGUAUCAAUAUUGAUAGUAGAUUGAUAGGCCCCCAAAUGAAAAUUUAACUUGAGAUAUCUUGGAGCCAAAAGCCGCAGAGUAGAUUGGAGGGUUCUCAAUGGAAAUUCAAGUUGAAAUAUCUUGAUGUAGCACAAGUGAUAUUAGAGUUAAUGGUAGAUCAAGGCCCUCAAUGGAGAUUCAAAUUGAGCUAUCUUAAUAUAGAAUGAUACAUGAAUUAAGGGAAGCUCACCUAAUGUUAAGCUCACACAUGAGUAAGAAACUAUUGAGGUGCACGUAUUCUAACUAAAUCAUAACUCAUUGGUUUAAAUUUUUAAAAUAAAGAUGAAUUUAAUUGAAUAUAUUGACGGGUUUAGACAUAAACUCUCUUUAUGAUCUUUUGAAGUGGAGACAUCAAUUUUUAUUGCACAGCCUCAACAACAUGGCACAUAAACAAAUGCUAAAAAUUUCAUGCGAGUGUUCAUUUAACAGCGUUAAUCGUGCACAAAUUAUAUAUCUCAUUGAUUAAAAAAUUGUCACUUCACAUACCAUCAUUUUCCACACCUUUGAUUAACCCACUAUACUUUUCAUUACCCUUUAUGAUGACAAUGACAAGAUGGGUGUAAAGUACCGAAAAAAAUGCCUCUUUUAGGGCGCGCAUGUUUUUAUUUCUGUUCUUUUUCUGUUCCCGAAAACAAAAAUAAAAAAAAGUGUUUCUGUUCCGGGGAACAAUUUUUGAAUAAAAAAACGCGUUUGGUAAACUUGUUCCGGAAAUAAAAAAUGAACAGAAACACGUUUGGUAAAUUUUAUUCUUUUUUUUGUUUCUUUUAAUUUUUUAAUAUUUUUAUUUUAUUUUUCAUUUUUUCCUUUCUUUUUUAUUUUUUCUUUUUUCGGCCGGUCGCCGGCCUCCGGCGACUGGCCGACGGGGCCGGCAACCUCACCCAGCCACGACGAUGCUCAGCCUCACCGGAUCUGGGCAAGCCCGAGCUCGCCCAGCCAAGGCGAGGCUCCGGCGAGGUCGCCGACCCUUGACGGCGUCGCCGGCCCUCGACGGCCGGUCGCCGGCCAUGGCCGAGGCCGGCGACUGGAGAAAGAAAAAAGAAGAAAAAAAGAAGAAGAAAAGAAGAAGAGAAGAAGAAGAGAGAGAAGAAGAAACGUUUCUUCAAAAUUGUUUCUGGAACAAGAAGUAAGUUUUUUUUGUUUCUUUUUUUUGUUCUUUUUGUGUUCUGGGAACAAAAGAACAAAAAAACAAAAAAGUGUUCCAGAAACACUUUUUAGGAAUAAAAACAUGCAGGCCCUUAUAAUUUUGGAGGAUUAAGAAAUAUUCUUUGUGGCAUGCAGGUGUCAUUUCACUUAACAAGGAUAUUUUAAAGAUCUUACGAAAUUUAAAACUAAAACUUGAAAGUUCUUCUUCCUUUUAAUUUUCAAGCCAAGCGUUGUGUCCUCUCUUCGGCCUCCAUAUACCUGGGAAUUCAUAUUGGACUUUGCGAGCCUUUCGAAAUUUCAUCAAUUACUCGAUGAUGUUUCUCAAGGUGUUAGAUGGAGGUGAAAAGGAUAUGAAAAGGAUAUGGAUGGGGGUUUGUGAUUUUAUUCAUUUAAAUCCAUAUCAAUAUAUACAUAUCAAUUUAUAAUUGGUCUAUGCUGUGUUAGUUAUUAACGUGACGCUUGCAACCAAUGAAUACUUUUCUCGUCAUUGAUGUAUGUGUUUGCAAUGGCUAGGGCAAUUGGUGGAAAGAGACAUGAUCCCUAGACAAUUAGUCCAAUGUUUAUGCAAGUGUCCUCUUGACAAGUUGAUUCCUAAAAGAUACCUUUGAAAACUCUUUUCAAUCGUAUUUGUCUUAUUCCAAAAUGGUCACUUCGCAUAUCAUGUUUCACUCAUUUUCCACACGUUUUGAUAAAUGCACUUUCCUCCUCCAUUACCACUUACGAUGACAAUGACUAUGAUAAGAUGGGUGUAAGAGAUGUCUAUUGUAUAAUUUUUAAAAAAGAAUUUCAAAUAGACUUGAAAAUGGACAUGAGAGGAGUUUAAGGGUGUAAUUUGGAGAACCACUCCAUAGAUUGUUAGAUAAGGCUUAUCAGAAAAUGGACAGCUGCAAACAAUGGGCAUCUUCAAUUACCAUCAAAAUUUUCUGUGAACUCCAUGGGGUCUUGUUGAUAUGAGCUCCAAACUCAAAGCAAUUGUGUCCAUGUCGACACCCUCAAGAUAAUGUUGGAUCUCGGUCCCCUCUUAGAUGAGAAGUUCCAUCGUAGAAAUGGAUUAACCGAGAAAUAUCGGGCACCCAGGUGGCAUCAAUUUCGCAAAAUACUAGUCUAUUAAUAACUCUUUCUCUCUCCUCUCUCCUCUGUCCAUUACUUUUUCCUCCCUUUCCUUUCUCUCCCGCGCUUGCUUUUUACUCAUCUUCUUCUUCAUCCAUCAAUCUUCUCUAUUUAGCACUUGCUUUAUUUCUUUCCUCUUGCAUCCGCCAUGGCUAGAGCUUAAGCACAAGCCUGAGGCUCAUGGCUGCUUGGGCCAUGGAGCUCAACCUCGAACCCAAAGCUUGGGAUAGCCUUGGCUGCUCAAGUCUUGAGCUCAGUCUCCAACUAGUGGCAAUGGCCAAUUGAGCUUUGAGCUCAUCGCGAUGGUGGCCGAGCCUUGAUAUCCUUGUUGUAAUUAUGGUGGGUUAAUGAAUCAAUGGAUGUGAGCGAAACGAGAAGUGUUGUUUCUAUUCACAUAUCUCAUAUUAAUUCGUGUAUUUCUCGAGUUCAUAUAUUUCUUGGAUUCGUGUAUCUACUUAAUUCUUGAUUAAUGUAUCUUCUGGAUUUUUGUAUCUAUUUAAUUCAUGUAUCUACUAGAUUCUUGUAUCUAUUCAUUUCAUGAUUCAUGUACAGUUUCUGUACAUGAAUUCAAAAACUCUAUAAAUAAAUUUCUAAAUCUUCAUUUCGAUAAGAAGAAAAAGUCACCAACAAUUCCUCUCUUCAAGUUUUCUCUAAAUAAAUUUCUAAUACCAACAGAUUCGAGGUGUUAUAUCUUGGGAGGCGAAGUUUGUGAAGCUACUUAACACUGUUGGCAAGAAUUAAUCGUCUUAAGGAGAUUCGUUUAGCCAUAUCUCACCUGCAAUUCUUGUUUAUUUUGUUGUCACUUUUUCGAUAAAUUUUCUAGUUACAAUGAACAGUGUUGCAUAUCUUCCGCCAAUACAUGUCUUCUUCUCCACCUCCUAUUCUUUAUUUUCCAACACCCCCGUCCAUGGUCACUAGAUUAAGGCACUUGAGGACACGAAUCAGGACUUGAACCUAGAGCUUGAGGUCAAAGCAGCCAUGGUCCAUUCCUUAAGUUUGAUUGAAAUCACUACCUUCCAUUCCUAAACAUCUCAUUUAAAUUUUAGAAAAUUUAAUGAUAGAGAAUAGAAGAGUAAAGAAAAUAUAAUGAUAGGGACAACACAGUACUAAAUAUUUGAAAUGAUGAAGUCAUAAAGCAAACACUAGCCAUGGAAAAUAUGUCUCAAUAAUGAACCAACAACCUACAACAGGCAUAGAAGACAGAUUUUGAUGGUUUCAUCAUUUUACAAUGGACAAUGCAACCUAUAAAUGAUCUAUCUAGAAUAAAACAAAUUGGUGACAUCAACUUGUUGCUGUAUUAUGAGGAGUUCUCAUUUAAUGUAUGAGGCUCAUGUUAGCAUCCUGUCUGAAUCAAAAAGGAUAUUGAUGAAAGUGAUAUAGAGUUAUAAUGAAAUAUAGUUUUGAAAAGUUAGAAAUAAGACCUACAAAAGCUUCUUUAAGGCUGGUUGGGGGUUAACUUACACCACACGAACUCUUACUAGGAGCUGAUUUUGUACUUGUAAUCACAAAUAAUGACAGGCAACUGUAGACUUUAUCCUACUGGAUGGGAGUUGUACAUAUGUUGGUCUCCUAGAUGAUUCCACUAUGUUAAUAUUCAAGUCUAUUCCUAUGUAACUGAAGAGAGUAGGAGUGAAAGAGACCACUUUGCACCAUAUGUGUGUAUGUAUAUCUUACUAAUCAUCAAGUGCAUUUAUCCCUUGUUAGAUGCUAUGCAAUUUUUCCCCCUGUUAUUUGUCUGUUUACUGUUGUUAAUGAAAAAACAUGUUUUGCUCUCGUUGUACUCCUUUAAGCUAGUAAUAACAUAUGUUCUUUAUAUAGUUGGCUUCUUCCUUUGAUUUGAUGGACUGUACUUUAUGAUCCUCUUUAAUAAGUAGCCUCAUUUGGACUUGAAAAGUAUGGUUAAAAGAAGUAUAGGAGAGAGGGACUGUUGGGUGGCUAGAGAAAAUCGAGGGGCAAGAGGCGGUUUUUAUAUGGAGGGCAAGGACAACUUUUUGAUUUUGAUUUGGUUUUGUUGCUCGAAGAAAAAUGUCGGGUUUGUCGCUACCUGAGGAAGCAUCGUCCUCCCUUCACUUCCACGUGCUUGCAGGCCAAGAGCACGUGGGGAACAUGAGACGUGUGAACGCGGGUAUGAGACUUGAUCAGGCCCCAUUAAUUAAAAGGAAAAUCUCACCAAAGUAAUUUUUUUUCCCAAGCACAGCAUCAUAAGAGUUCCAAUACCCCAUGUUUGUACUAGCGACUCAAAUACACUUUACGUCAAAGAUAGUUUUCUGGGUUGAUACUAGGAAAAAUCACAAACUACACAUAUUAUAAAUAUAAAGUAAGACCUUAAACCGAUGCACUUGUUAUAUGUUAGGUAUAAUCCAAUUCUUUAACUGUAAAAUUUAACGGAAACCAAUAGAUAAUAGAUUUAUUAUAGGUGUACCAAUUAAGAGGGUUUUAAAGGGUCAAAAAAUUAGUCUAAAGUAAAUUUGUUAAGAGGUCGAAACAUGUAUGUUGUCCCCAACUAACAAGCACCACAUGCCAUUCUUCAAGGACUGCCUCUUAGUUUCUUGACCCUUUAUUCUUGAAGCUAGUUUUUAGAGUCUCAUAUUUUCUUAUCCACAAGUUCCACAAAGUAGCAAAUGAAGAGCAUACUUAGAACCAUACCAACUUAUCGAGGUAACAACAAAGUUCUAAUUAGAAGAAGCCAUUCUAGUGGAGGAAGAAAAAGCACUUAGAAAGCCAUGAGAGUUAUCACAAUAUUGAUUUAUUUAGGGAAGGCUAGUUUGCCCCUUCAAUACACAAUAAAUUGCCUUAUAUUGCAUGAGUUGCAUCGAACAUCACAAGGCAUCUAGAGGACAAGUCCCUUUCAUGAUGCUACAGACAAUAGAUAUGAAAGCCACAAAGUAUAAAAGAUGCUUAAAGCACUAUAAACAAAGCACACUCCAUGCCAAGCUUGCUAAAGCAAGUGGUAAAGCUUAAAGCACCCUCCACACCUAGUAAAUUAGUAAAGCACACCACCCUAUCGUAUUAUUGAAUCCCUCUUUAGUGUUGUUUGUCGAGCUAUUUGAGUUGUCUCCAUCUUUUGCUUUGCGAAAGGUGCAAAUAAGAAUGUCUAUCUUCCACUGCGACAAAAGCUGAUCAGCAGUAGGGUCGUCAAGGAUUCUUGAUGAAGAUGAACCAUAUGUUCUUCUUUUCUUAGAGGUGGAAGCUAGAUGUAAAUCUAUGGAGAUGAAUUCAAAUGAGUAGGGGUAUUGGGUUAGUGGCCCACCCUAUGGAUCUUGGGAGAAGGAAGUGAGUGUUUCAUCAUGAUCAGAACUAAGAUCCUCUCCAUGUUAUUCCCUUAAGGCCUGAUGAAUUUGGUGGCUUAUUUCAAAGAAUUUUAGAUUAGUGUGUUGCCAUAUUGGGUUACCUUCUUGCCAAGUCUAUGGAGGAAUCACCAUGUUGUGUUGGCACAAAAUUCUUUGAAGUUCUUUAUGAUUCUUUGGGAUUUGUCUAAUUUUUGUUGAGAGGGUUUUGAAAAUAUCAUUUGUUCUUGAUUGAGGCUUGAAAGUAAAGACGCCAUCCUUUGUUGGAGUCUAGUGAAGAUUUCCACUUGGCCUAAAAAUCAUCCACGACCCAGGAAAGAUGAUUAAAGUGUGAAGUUCUGUAUUUGGCUGGCAAAAUUUCGAUUGUUCUUUAAAAACUAUUCUCUAGAUUCCUAAAGGUUUAAACCAUGAUAGAAAUUCUCCUAAAUGUGCAAAAUCUGACUCCUUGGAUAAACUAGCCAAUGAUGAGAGGCAUUUUAGUUGUAGGAAAUUCAACAUCUAUUUAAUGUAGAAUAAGCAGAUACCAAAUAAGCCAUUUAAGGUUUUCAAGAAAUGGGUCUAUGGAUGAGAUGGUCAAAAGAUAUAAGAAUGGAUACUUAGGAUAUAGUUCCAAAUGUCUCAAACAUAAUCCAUUAUAUUUGUUUAAGAUUCUUAAUUGAUAAACUCAUAGUAGGUCAUUAAGUUUUCAAAGACAACAUUGCCUUGGCCAUUUUGGCAACAUUGGCUGAGCUCGAAUUUGGCCACUAGCUAUUGUACUUGCAUACAUGUUGAUGGAAUUCAUUAGGGCUUUUGAUUUGGCUUGAAUAGAAAAUCUGCAAGCACAUUCUUUUUUUCUCGCAAUGCAUUUGGUUUUAAAGGAAUAUUUGAAAAACCAUUAUGCUCAUUUUAGAAGUUGUGGGUGCGGAAUUGCCUUCUUGCUUUAAUUUCAUCUGGUUAAAGGAAGACAUGUCAAAUUUGAUAAGAAAAUGGUGAUCUAUGAGAUGAAAUUCGAAUUUCUUAAUCCCGUACUUAACAACCAAGAUUUCUUUGAACAUAGUUCCACUCUUGUGUCCAUAGAUUCUCCUCUUAACGUCAACUUGUUGUUCAAAAAGAAUAGCUCCCAAUAUUUGUCAUUAACAUUGGUACGAAUAAUUCUUUUUCCUUAAGAGGGAAUUUGAAGAGGAGGUAAAGAUUUUUACUUUUAUCUGAAUGACUAGACCAAGAAAAAAAUGGUAGGAUCUUAAGGGGGGGAGGCAAUUCAAAGUUGAAGUUAAAAAUAACUCCAAAAAAACUUUAACCACAACCGAACUUGUUAAUUUUUGGAUUUUUCUAAUUUACGGGAUAGAUUAGUCGGAAUGUGUUACCUGCACUAAUAAAUGCAAGGGCAUAGAAGAAAGGACAAAUUCCCCUGUGGCCACAAUUGGACACUCGAAAGCAGCGAAGUCAAAUGAAAUAAUUUAAAGUGUGCUCAUAAUGAUUUUCAUAUUUAAAUAUUACUUAAUUUGAAAUUUUCGACAUACAAAUUAUUGACUUUUUUCAUUCGAAAUGCUAGAAACGUUCCACAUAUUGAUGUUCACAUAUUUAAAUUUUACUUAAUUUGAAAUUUUCGACAUGCAAAUUAUUGACUUUUUUCAAUCGAAAUGCUAGAUGCGUUCCACAUAUCUCCAAAAAAAAAUUACGUAAUUUAUACGUAAUUUAUACGUAAUUUUUUUCACAAUCAGAGAAAUUUUGAGGGGGGAAAAUUACUUAAUGAAAAAAAUAGGCCCCUGCUUAACGCAACAGCUUGGCUUUGAUAGACAUGAUCAGGCAACCAAAAAAAAAAUUCCACAAAUCCAUGUCCGUCCCCACGAGCUUAAAAGGGGGGAAAAGUCAAGAAGAAAAGGGAGUGAACUAGCGACGAGUCCCAAAAGAUACUGCUAUUCAUCGUCGUAGAGAUCCUCAGCUUCCUGAUCUUCUGCGAUCGUCUCCAAUGUUAUACGUCUGAAACUUCUGUCGAGAGCUGGGACGAGAAGAGCCGGCGCCACCUCCAUCCACGGACUCAUCGAUCCUUCGAUUCCCUUCGCCAUGUCGCGACCGUGGUUCUCGACUCCGAUUCAAGAGCUCAAGCUUUGGUCGACUCGACUAAGUGAGCUUCGGUUGAAAUCGCUAGAAGAAGAAGAAGAGAAGAAUUCCACAACUGCUCUGGGAGAGAUGGAGACUCUGUGUGAGAGACUGAAAUUGUUGGGUGAUGGAGAAAAUCUGGGGGGUGAGCGGCGGAUUUUAAUAUGGAGGGCAAGGACAACUUUU